UACGUAGGGGGCAAGCGUUGUCCGGAAUUAUUGGGCGUAAAGAGCGCGUAGGCGGUCCGAUAAGUCGGCUGUGAAAGUCAGGGGCUCAACCCUUGAAAGCCGGCCGAUACUGUCGGACUAGAGUCCGGAAGAGGCGAGUGGAAUUCCCGGUGUAGCGGUGAAAUUCGUAGAUAUCGGGAGGAACACCGGUGGCGAAGGCGGCGACCUGGGUCGAGACUGACGCUGAGGCGCGAAAGCGUGGGGAGCAAACAGG
rnacentral:rRNA from 1 species